rnacentral:rRNA from 1 species
GAUGAACGCUGGCGGCGUGUCUUAGGCAUGCAAGUCGAACGAUCCGUUUACGGAUAGUGGCAGACGGGUGAGUAUGACAGUGAUAACCUACCCCAAAGUACCGAAUAACAUCCCGAAAGGGUUGCUAAUACGGAAUAGUCUGCAGUCACAUAAGUGGUCUGUAGUAAAGAUUUAUUGCUUUGGGAGGGGUCUUUGGACCAUCAGCUAGUUGGUAAGGUAAAAGCUUACCAAGGCUAUGACGGUUAGCGGGUGUGAGAGCAUGACCCGCCACAUUGGGACUGAAACACUGCCCAA